AUUGAACGCUGGCGGCAGGCCUAACACAUGCAAGUCGAACGAGUGGCGGACGGGUGAGUAAUGUCUGGGAAACUGCCUGAUGGAGGGGGAUCACCACUGGAAACGGUCGCUAAUACCGCAUACCAUCAGAUGUGCCCAGAUGGGAUUAGCUUGUUGGUGGGGUAACGGCUAACCAAGGCGACGAUCCCUAGCUGGUCUGAGAGGAUGACCAGCCACACUGGAACUGAGACAGGGUCCAGAUUCCUACGGGAGGCAGCAGUGGGGAAUAUUGCACAAUGGGGGCAAGCCGGAUGCAGCCAGGCCGCGUGUAGGAAGAAGGCCUUCGGGUUGUAAAGUACUUUCAGCGGGGAGGCGUUACCCGCAGAAGAAGCACCGGCUAACUCCGUGCCAGCAGCCGCGGUAAUAC
rnacentral:rRNA from 1 species